UACAUAUAUAUAUAUAUAUAUAUAUAUAUAUAUAUAUGUACAUCCUAUGUAUAUGUACAUCCGAUGGAAAUGAAGAUAACUCAAAUGUCACCGUUGUAAACUGUUAUACGUCUAACGUUCAUGAAGAUCCGUUACACUUGACUCCACUUUUCAUUGGCUUCCUAUCCGUAUUCUUCUUCUACAUACAUAGAACGAAUUUAACUCGGACGACAAGCAGGUGACGAGUCAAAUUACGGAAGUCAUUGAAGCACUGUGGUUAUGAACGUACAAGUUAUACGUCUCUUGAGAGAGAAAGAGGCAGAGAGACAGAAAGAGAGAGAGAGAGAGAGAGAGAGAGAGAGAGAGAGAGAGAGAAAGGGAAGAAAUGGAAGACGUGCCACAACCACAUCCGUCGUUACAGCCGGCUUUGCAUUUUCUUUGGAAUACACGAGAUUUCUUUUGAUAUUCACCCUUUUCCUUAUUCUCUCAUCUUCAUGAAGAAAAUGAAAUACCGAUUUUAUCCUCGUUAUGGAUAUCUCCUACUAUAAUAAUAAUAAUAAUAAAAUUAAAUGUUUUGAAGAUUUGAGGAAAACAAAAUUGAUCGACUUAUAUGUAGAGUAUCUGAAUUUCGUUUAUUUCAAUAAUAUUUAAUUUAAGAGGCUAUUUUUGAAAUAUGAUAAAAAUGAUGAAAACACAAUGUAUAAUGUACUACUGCGAAGAUGAGGAAUAAUAGAAGAAGAAGAAGAAGAAGAAGAAAAAGAAGAAGAAGAAGAAGAAGAAGCAAGAAAAAAAUGACAAAAUAAAAAAGAAAUAAACGAAGAAGUUGGACCAAAGUUUCAAUCGGAUAAGGUCCCCGAUCGGUGUAUGUAUCUGCUUCUUGCUUGCUUGCUUGCUUGCUUGCUUGCUUGCUAGCUCUACGUCCCUCGUCUUCGAUCGAACUUGAAGUCGAACUCGUUCUCGACAAGAGAGUAACAUGAAGAUGCGAAGUAACCGGUGCUUCUUCGAUACGUUUGCAUUGAAGAAGAAUAAAAAGAAAAAGAAAAUAAAAAAAAAAUAAAAAAAAAAAAAGAACGGAAAUGAAAACGAAAAUGAAAACGAAUAAGAAGUAGGUGGACCAAAAAGAUAACUGAGAAAAUGAUCGACGAAGAGAUUAAAUAAAAAAAAAAUAAAUAAAUAAAUAAAUAAAGAUACAGUAGAUGAUAGUAAAGAAUCGUCGUUAGAGAACGGAAUCUCCUUGAGGUGACCUUGAAGAAAAGUGACGAACAUUGUCCAAACAGUGCGAUAAAAAAUUUUAUGAGACAAAAUUGAAACCCAAUGUAAAUUAUAGAUAAAGCAAUUGAUUUUCUUGAAGGGAGAGGGGGGCAACAAUCUAUCUCGUGAUCGUGACAAUAGUUGAGAUAUACCAAACAAAAAAAAAAAAAAAAAAAAAAAAAAAAAGAA